GCCUGGGUGGCUCAGCGGUUGAGCAUCUGCCUUUGGCUCAGGUCAGAUCCUGGGGUCCUGGGAUCGAGUCCCACAUCAGGCU
rnacentral:tRNA from 1 species